AUUCAUCUUCUCUCUCUCUCUCUCUCUCUCUCUCUCUAUUCUCCUAUUGAUCUUCUUCUUCAUCUUCUCUUAGGUAUUUUUCCAAUGAAAUUGAGAGAGAGAGAGAGAGAGAGAGAGAGAGAUGUGG
rnacentral:misc_RNA from 12 species